rnacentral:lncRNA from 1 species
AUGUUACCGGGAAGCAGCAACAGAGACAGAUUGAGUGCUAAAGCUUCUGUUACCGCGCGAGGUCGUGGUAGAAAGAAUCUUGGCCGUGGUCGUAGUUCAUUGGUGAUUGUCAACGAGGGGAGUGGAAGUUUUUCAGAAUUAACGGGCUUAACAAAGCUCUUCGAUGCGCUUCGCGUCUCUGUUUGUUCGUCCCAGUCUCUGUUCGGGUCGGUUGGGAACCUAAUAAGACAAGCCAAGCGCUUAGCUUAG